rnacentral:rRNA from 1 species
UACAGAGGGGGCAAGCGUUGUUCGGAAUUACUGGGCGUAAAGGGCGCGUAGGCGGCCUUCUAAGUCGAACGUGAAAUCCCUGGGCUCAACCCAGGAACUGCGUCCGAUACUGGGAGGCUUGAAUCCGGGAGAGGGAUGCGGAAUUCCAGGUGUAGCGGUGAAAUGCGUAGAUAUCUGGAGGAACACCGGUGGCGAAGGCGGCAUCCUGGACCGGUAUUGACGCUGAGGCGCGAAGGCCAGGGGAGCAAACGGG